AGGAUCCUGCCUACCAGUGAAUCCAAACAUGGGUCCUGAUCAGCAUGGAGUGUCUGAAAAUGACAUUUCUAUGAAAAAGGCCAUCAUGCUUCUGCAGUCACUGGAUUCCAUGUUGAAGCAUAAUGCUAGAGAAGUGCAACUGGAAACCAAUGAAGUAGAAAACUACUUCAGCGACGCCGCCGGCUCCCACAACGUGUCAAGCGAC